GCAAACUUGGUCAUUUAGAGGAAGUAAAAGUCGUAACAAGGUCUCCGUUGGUGAACCAGCGGAGGGAUCAUUACCGAGUUUACAACUCCCAAACCCCUGUGAACCAUACCAUAUCGUUGCCUCGGCGGCGCCCUCUCGGGGGACCGCCAGAGGACCCAAACUCUUGCUUUUAUACAAGUUUGUUCUGAGUGUUGCUGCAAGCAAAAAUAAAUCAAAACUUUCAACAAUGGAUCUCUUGGCUCUGGCAUCGAUGAAGAACGCAGC
rnacentral:misc_RNA from 1 species